GUAGUCAUAUGCUUGUCUCAAAGAUUAAGCCAUGCAUGUCUAAGUAUAAGCAAUCUAUACAGUGAAACUGCGAAUGGCUCAUUAAAUCAGUUAUCGUUUAUUUGAUAGUACCUUACUACUUGGAUAACCGUGGUAAUUCUAGAGCUAAUACAUGCUAAAAAUCCGGCUCCUCGCGGGGCCGGAUGUAUUUAUUAGAUAAAAAACCAAUGCCUUCGGGCUCCCUGGUGAUUCAUAAUAACUUCACGAAUCGCAUGGCCUUGCGCCGGCGAUGGUUCAUUCAAAUUUCUGCCCUAUCAACUGUAGUCGGUAGGAUAGAGGCCUACCGAGGUUACAACGGGUAACGGGGAAUUAGGGUUCUAUUCCGGAGAGGGAGCCUGAGAAACGGCUACCACAUCCAAGGAAGGCAGCAGGCGCGCAAAUUACCCAAUCCCGACACGGGGAGGUAGUGACAAUAAAUACUGAUACAGGGCCCUUUAGGGUCUUGUAAUUGGAAUGAGUACAAUUUAAAUCCAUUAACGAGGAACAAUUGGAGGGCAAGUCUGGUGCCAGCAGCCGCGGUAAUUCCAGCUCCAAUAGCGUAUAUUAAAGUUGUUGCAGUUAAAAAGCUCGUAGUUGAACCUUGGGUCUGGCUAGCCGGUCUGCCUCACCGCAUGCACUGGAUCGGCCGGACCUUUCCUUCUGGCUAACCUCAUGCCCUUCACUGGGUGUGGGCGGAACCAGGACUUUUACUUUGAAAAAAUUAGAGUGUUCAAAGCAGGCAUUUGCUCGAAUACAUUAGCAUGGAAUAAUAGAAUAGGACGUGUGGUUCUAUUUUGUUGGUUUCUAGGACCGCCGUAAUGAUUAAUAGGGAUAGUCGGGGGCAUC
rnacentral:rRNA from 1 species